AUGACAAACCAACCCGAACAAAAGAGUGCCAACCCAAGUUGUCAGAAAUUCCUUAACCUCCUUAAGAUGUACUUAUUUUGUAUGCUUCAUUUCACAUUCCUGGUGCAGAAAUACAAACUCGAACUGGUAUCACACAUCCGAAAACUGAAAACGAAAACAUCCGAAAAGUAUUACAUGUAUGUAAUACAACAACCGAUCUUAUCCCAGGCUGAACACAAUGUAUGUGAAUGUCUUUUUGUCACAUAUUCCAUAGCAAAAUCACAAGGAACUGACAAAAGUAGAUGUUGA